rnacentral:lncRNA from 1 species
AGCGCUCCCGGCGGGGCGCCCCGCUCUGCGCCGUUCCCUCCGCCGUCGCCCAGCCACCGCCUUUCGCACGCGCCGGAACCGCUUUUGUGGUCUCCGAGACACUCAUUUGCUGUCCUGGUUUCCAAAGCUCCACGUGCUCAGCGCCGAAAACUUGCAAAUCAUUUGCUGUCUAUACUGGGCGCCCGCUGCGUGCCAGGUACUGCCACCGGCUCUCUCCUCACGGUGGAAUAACUUAACAGAGAAGACAGACAUCAAUCAAAUACCCUGGAAACGUGGAAGGCAGGGGAAAGAACAAAGGGAGAGCAAAAUCGCCCCAAUCCCACAUCACCCGCGACGUGAAAGGAUUUGUCCUUCCAGCUGCGGGACUCCUAUUUGUUUAUUUCAACCCCGCGCCAGCUCCAGGCACAGCCGUUCAGGGUGAUGCCAAAGGGAAAUGAGAACGCCUGGUUUCGAGUGCCAGCCUGAGGCCCCUUAAGCCCUAGCCUGGCUCCAAAAACUGCAGCCUGUUUCCCUCAACAAAAAUGACGUCAAGAAUACCUAGAUGUGACCACACCGAACUUGCUUGCCCGUUUUGGGAAACCCAACUUUCUUCCUGAAUAGUCAGAACCUCUGGCUUUCCUGGUCUCUUAAGAACCGCAAACUAUUGAAAAGCAGAUGCGUCUUUCAGCCUCUUUAAUAAAUGCAGUAAGGAGA